rnacentral:rRNA from 1 species
CAGCCGCCGCGGGAAUACAGAGGGUGCGAGCGUUAAUCGGAUUUACUGGGCGUAAAGCGUGCGUAGGCGGCUUUUUAAGUCGGAUGUGAAAUCCCUGAGCUUAACUUAGGAAUUGCAUUCGAUACUGGGAAGCUAGAGUAUGGGAGAGGAUGGUAGAAUUCCAGGUGUAGCGGUGAAAUGCGUAGAGAUCUGGAGGAUUACCGAUGGCGAAGGCAGCCAUCUGGCCUAAUACUGACGCUGAGGUACGAAAGCAUGGGGAGCAAACAGGAUUAGAGACCCCAGUAGUCCCUGUCUCUUAUAC